rnacentral:misc_RNA from 1 species
UACGGAGGGUGCAAGCGUUAAUCGGAAUUACUGGGCGUAAAGCGUGCGUAGGUGGUUAUUUAAGUCCGUUGUGAAAGCCCUGGGCUCAACCUGGGAACUGCAGUGGAUACUGGAUGACUAGAAUGUGGUAGAGGGUAGCGGAAUUCCUGGUGUAGCAGUGAAAUGCGUAGAGAUCAGGAGGAACAUCCAUGGCGAAGGCAGCUACCUGGACCAACAUUGACACUGAGGCACGAAAGCGUGGGGAGCAAACAGG